UACGGGGGGGGCAAGCGUUGUUCGGAAUUACUGGGCGUAAAGGGCGCGUAGGCGGCCUUGUAAGUCUCGUGUGAAAGCCCUCGGCUUAACUGAGGAUCUGCACGGGAUACUGCGAGGCUUGAGUUCGGGAGAGGAAAGCGGAAUUCCGGGUGUAGCGGUGAAAUGCGUAGAUAUCCGGAGGAACACCAGUGGCGAAGGCGGCUUUCUGGGCCGACACUGACGCUGAGGCGCGAAAGCUAGGGGAGCAAACGGG
rnacentral:rRNA from 1 species